CCUACGGGUGGCUGCAGUGGGGAAUAUUGGACAAUGGGCGAAAGCCUGAUCCAGCCAUGCCGCGUGUGUGAAGAAGGCCUUCGGGUUGUAAAGCACUUUCAGUGGGGAAGAAAGCCUUGGGGCUAAUACCCUCGAGGAAGGACAUCACCCACAGAAGAAGCACCGGCUAACUCCGUGCCAGCAGCCGCGGUAAUACGGAGGGUGCGAGCGUUAAUCGGAAUUACUGGGCGUAAAGCGCGCGUAGGCGGUCUGAUAAGCCGGUUGUGAAAGCCCCGGGCUCAACCUGGGAACGGCAUCCGGAACUGUCAGGCUAGAGUGCAGGAGAGGAAGGUAGAAUUCCCGGUGUAGCAGUGAAACGCGUAGAGGUCGGGAGGAAUACCAGUGGCGAAGGCGGCCUUCUGGACUGACACUGACGCUGAGGUGCGAAAGCGUGGGUAGCAAACAGGAUUAGAUACCCGAGUAGUC
rnacentral:rRNA from 1 species